rnacentral:rRNA from 1 species
UACGUAGGGGGCAAGCGUUGUCCGGAAUCAUUGGGCGUAAAGCGCGUGUAGGCGGCCCGGUAAGUCCGCUGUGAAAGUCGGGGGCUCAACCCUCGGAUGCCGGUGGAUACUGUCGGGCUAGAGUGCGGGAGAGGCGAGUGGAAUUCCUGGUGUAGCGGCGAAAUGCGCAGAUAUCAGGAGGAACACCAAUUGCGAAGGCAGCUCGCUGGAACGUUACUGACGCUGAGACGCGAAAGCGUGGGGAGCAAACAGG